rnacentral:rRNA from 1 species
AAGCGGGAAAAGCUCAAAUUUAAAAUCUGUCAGCCUUUGGCUGUCCGAGUUGUAAUCUAGAGAAGUGUUAUCCGCGCUGGACCGUGUACAAGUCUCCUGGAAUGGAGCGUCAUAGAGGGUGAGAAUCCCGUCUUUGACACGGACUGCCAGGGCUUUGUGAUGCGCUCUCAAAGAGUCGAGUUGUUUGGGAAUGCAGCUCAAAAUGGGUGGUAAAUUCCAUCUAAAGCUAAAUAUUGGCGAGAGACCGAUAGCGAACAAGUACCGUGAGGGAAAGAUGAAAAGAACUUUGGAAAGAGAGUUAAACAGUACGUGAAAUUGCUGAAAGGGAAACGCUUGAAGUCAGUCGCGUUGUCCAGGGAUCAACCUUGCUUUUGCUUGGUGUACUUYCUGGUUAACGGGUCAGCAUCAAUUUUGACUGUUGGAAAAAGAUCAGGGGAAUGUGGCAUCUUCGGAUGUGUUAUAGCCCUUGGUUGCAUACAAUGGUUGGGAUUGAGGAACUCAGCACGCCGCAAGGCCGGGUUUUAACCACGUACGUGCUUAGGAUGCUGGCAUAAUGGCUUUAAUCGACCCGUCUUGAAACACGGACCAAGGAGUCUAACAUGCCUGCGAGURUUUGGGUGGAAAACCCGAGYGCGUAAUGAAAGUGAAAGUUGAGAUCCYUGUCAUGGGGAGCAUCGACGCCCGGACCAGACCUUUUGUGACGGUUCCGCGGUAGAGCAUGUAUGUUGGGACCCGAAAGAUGGUGAACUAUGCCUGAAUAGGGUGAAGCCAGAGGAAACUCUGGUGGAGGCUCGUAGCGAUUCUGACGUGCAAAUCGAUCGU